GUUUGAUUCAUGCCUCAGAUUGAACGCUGGCGGCAGGCUUAACACAUGCAAGUCGAGCGGGGGAAGGUAGCUUGCUACCGGACCUAGCGGCGGACGGGUGAGUAAUGCUUAGGAAUCUGCCUAUUAGUGGGGGACAACAUCUCGAAAGGGAUGCUAAUACCGCAUACGUCCUACGGGAGAAAGCAGGGGAUCUUCGGACCUUGCGCUAAUAGAUGAGCCUAAGUCGGAUUAGCUAGUUGGUGGGGUAAAGGCCUACCAAGGCGACGAUCUGUAGCGGGUCUGAGAGGAUGAUCCGCCACACUGGGACUGAGACACGGCCCAGACUCCUACGGGAGGCAGCAGUGGGGAAUAUUGGACAAUGGGGGGAACCCUGAUCCAGCCAUGCCGCGUGUGUGAAGAAGGCCUUAUGGUUGUAAAGCACUUUAAGCGAGGAGGAGGCUACUUUAGUUAAUACCUAGAGAUAGUGGACGUACUCGCAGAAUAAGCACCGG
rnacentral:rRNA from 1 species